rnacentral:rRNA from 1 species
GACGAACGCUGGCGGCGUGCCUGAUACAUGCAAGUUGAGCGCUGAAGGUUGGUACUUGUACCAACUGGAUGAGCAGCGAACGGGUGAGUAACGCGUGGGGAAUCUGCCUUUGAGCGGGGGACAACAUUUGGAAACGAAUGCUAAUACCGCAUAAAAACUUUAAACACAAGUUUUAAGUUUGAAAGAUGCAAUUGCAUCACUCAAAGAUGAUCCCGCGUUGUAUUAGCUAGUUGGUGAGGUAAAGGCUCACCAAGGCGAUGAUACAUAGCCGACCUGAGAGAGUGAUCGGCCACAUUGGGACUGAGACACGGCCCAAACUCCUACGGGAGGCAGCAGUAGGGAAUCUUCGGCAAUGGACGAAAGUCUGACCGAGCAACGCCGCGUGAGUGAAGAAGGUUUUCGGAUCGUAAAACUCUGUUGGUAGAGAAGAACGUUGGUGAGAGUGGAAAGCUCAUCAAGUGACGGUAACUACCCAGAAAGGGACGGCUAACUACGUG